AGUGCGCAGGCAUAGAGCCUGCGCUUUUCUGAACUGUAGGGAGGUUGAGGAACAAGAACUGGGCAAGACCGGUGCCAGCCGCCGCGGUAAUACCGGCAGCUCGAGUGAUGGCCGAUUUUAUUGGGCCUAAAGCGUCCGUAGCUGGCCUGGCAAGUCCGUCGGGAAAUCCACCCGCUCAACGGGUGGGCGUCCGGCGGAAACUGCGAGGCUUGGGACCGGGAGGCUUGAAGGGUACGUCCGGGGUAGGAGUGAAAUCCCGUAAUCCUGGACGGACCACCGAUGGGGAAACCACUUCAAGAGAACGGAUCCGACAGUGAGGGACGAAAGCUAGGGUCUCGAACCGGAUUAGAUACCCGGGUAGUCCUAGCUGUAAACGAUGCCUGUUAGGUGUGACUCCCACUACGAGUGGGUGUUGUGCCGUAGGGAAGCCGCUAAACAGGCCGCCUGGGAAGUACGUCUGCAAGGAUGAAACUUAAAGGAAUUGGCGGGGGAGCACUACAACCGGAGGAGCCUGCGGUUUAAUUGGACUCAACGCCGGACAUCUCACCAGCAUCGACUGUGGUAAUGACGGUCAGGUUGAUGACCUCGCCCGAGCGACAGAGAGGAGGUGCAUGGCCGCCGUCAGCUCGUACCGUGAGGCGUCCUGUUAAGUCAGGCAACGAGCGAGACCCGCAUCCUUACUUGCCAGCAGCACCGCGAGGUGGCUGGGGACAGUAGGGAGACCGCCGUGGCUAACACGGAGGAAGGAACGGGCAACGGUAGGUCAGUAUGCCCCGAAUAUGCUGGGCAACACGCGGGCUACAAUGGCCGAGACAAUGGGUUCCAACGCCG
rnacentral:rRNA from 1 species